rnacentral:lncRNA from 1 species
UUGGCUUUGACCUUGAACUGUAGUUUGCAAACUCCUGGUCUAGAGUAGAAGCAGCCAACCAGAAAUGGGCUGUGAAAUGUAAAACAGGGAUUAAAGAGGACUUUAAAUUAGGCUAGGCUGAGAAGGGAGGGCAGGCCUGAGCAGAGGAUGGGGUAAGGAAGGACCUCCUGAGAGAUAGUGGGGAGAGACUGGACUCUCAUUUACAGAGUGUCUAGUGCGUGCCAGAUAUUUUUCACAUAUUUUAUAUGUAUGACUCAUUUAAUCCACUCAAUGAACCUGUAGGUACCAUUAUUGUUCCGUUUUCCAGAUGAGGAAACCGAGGCACUGUGAAGCCAGGUAGCCUGCCCCAGACGACAGGUGUGAGGGCUGAGCCAGGAUCCACACCACCAGCCCCACUCAGAGCCUGCCCCUUGGCUGCCCUUCACAUGCUAUGUGCUUUUCUCAUUAAAUCGCCCAACACUCUUAGGAGUGCAAAGAAAAGGAGGUGGCACCUUGAUACCCCCUGGAAAAAGUCACUUGACUUUGUGUCUGGGUUCUUACUGUUCCAUGGAGGCUGCAGAAAGCUGGGAGAAGCAUUUUUCUAUGUAAGUAUACAAAUUGGCUAUCAUGGUUUAUAUACCACUUUAUAUUCUGGGAUUCCGCCCCCCCCCCCCCCA